rnacentral:misc_RNA from 1 species
AGGCUCCUAUUUAAUAUAAAUUUCAAUCCUAGCAAAGAAACGAGAAACUGAAGGGAAAAAAGUAGUACGUAUACUCUGUAGUUUAUGGCAAUCCUGUUUUGGCGAAAGGCCUAAUGUGAAGUCAUUUCACUGAUGAAAAAGUAAUCUAUUGUGAGAUAUCCUAGUAUGCAGGAUAAUCCUCGUAAUAUUCCUGCAAAUCAACUCCAUAAUAUUGUUCACAACUCAAAAUUCUAAUAUAUACCGAUUAUAGCAUCCAGGAGUAUCUAGAAGAAAAGUCGCAGAAGGAAUAUGGAGAACUGUAAUUACAU